rnacentral:SRP_RNA from 1 species
UUUAUGGUCCCGGAUGACGCGAAAGCUGUGAACCCCGCCAGGCCCGGAAGGGAGCAACGGUAGCGGAAAUAGUGGGUGUCUGGGGCCACCUUUCUGGA